rnacentral:rRNA from 1 species
UACAGAGGUCCCGAGCGUUGUUCGGAUUCACUGGGCGUAAAGGGUGCGUAGGCGGCUUUGCAAGUCUGAUGUGAAAUCUCCAGGCCCAACCUGGAAAUGGCAUUAGAAACUGCGGAGCUGGAGGCUUGGAGGGGGAACUGGAAUGCUCGGUGUAGCAGUGAAAUGCGUAGAGAUCGAGCGGAACACCAGUGGCGAAGGCGAGUUCCUGGACAAGACCUGACGCUGAGGCACGAAAGCCAGGGGAGCAAACAGG